GACAAAGACCAGCUCAUAUGCUCGCCUUAUUAAGAUUGAAUCAUUCCAAACCUUUUUGCUACUGUAGAUGCCGAGGAGCUAUCUGGUUCAAGUACUACGGAGUGCAGGGAAACCGGAUUGGAUCUUCGAAUCAUAACACGCUUUUGGACCCUCUCAAUGGACAACCUUUCAUUUAAGUCACUGAAACAGGAAAUCAGUGCAGGGAAACCGGAUUGGAUCUUCGAAUCAUAAAACGCUUUUGGAUCCUCUCAGUGGACAACCUUUCAUUAAAAUCAAUGAAACAGGAAAUCAGCCAUAUUUAUAUUUGUGGACAGCUUCUCCCAGUGCCCCCAUGCAUGGUUCUCCAGGGGAAGUGGAUUGGAUCUUCGAAUCGUAACACGCUUUUUGGAUCCUCUGAUUGGAGAGAACCUUUCAAUCUUAAAGUGGAUGCAACAGAUACCUUUUGUAUGGAGAUAUC